rnacentral:rRNA from 1 species
AAAGGAAUAGACGGGGGCCCGCACAAGCAGCGGAGCAUGUGGUUUAAUUCGAAGCAACGCGAAGAACCUUACCAGCUCUUGACAUCCAUUGACUGACGUAGAGAUACGUAGUUCACUUCGGUGACAAUGAGACAGGUGGUGCAUGGUUGUCGUCAGCUCGUGUCGUGAGAUGUUGGGUUAAGUCCCGCAACGAGCGCAACCCCUAUGAUUAGUUGCCAUCAUUAAGUUGGGCACUCUGGUCAGACUGCCCGUGAAAGCGGGAGGAAGGUGGGGAUGACGUCAAAUCAUCAUGCCCCUUACGAGCUGGGCUACACACGUGCUACAAUGGUCUGAACAAAGGGCAGCGAAGUAGUGAUACGGAGCGAAUCUCAAAAAACAGAUCUCAGUUCGGAUUGCAGGCUGCAACUCGCCUGCAUGAAGUUGGAGUUGCUAGUAAUCGCGGAUCAGCAUGCCGCGGUGAAUGCGUUCCCGGGCCUUGUACACACCGCCCGU